rnacentral:rRNA from 1 species
AUUGAACGCUGGCGGCAGGCUUAACACAUGCAAGUCGAACGAGUGGCGGACGGGUGAGUAAUGCUUUGGUAUCUAGCUUAUGCGGGGGGAUCACUACGGGAAACUGUAGCUAAUACCGCGAUACUUAGCCUGAGCCCAAGUGGGUUUAGGUAGUGGGUGUGGUAAAGGCUCACCAAGCCGCCGAUCUCUAGCUGGUCUGAGAGGAUGACCAGCCACGCUGGGACUGAGGCACGGCCCAGACUCCUCCGGGAGGCAGCAGUGGUGAAUAUUGCGCUAUGGGGGAGACCUGACGCAGCCAUGCCGCGUGAAUGAAGAAGGCCUUCGGGUUGUAAAGUUCUUUCGGUAGCGAGGCGUUAACGACAGAAGCCGCACCGGCUAACUACGUGCCAGCAGCCGCGGUAAUUC